CUUGCGCCAGCGCGUAAGGGAUAGCAGCGGAUAUCCUUUUUUCGGUGAGGGAAAAGCGUUGGCGAAAAAAGAUAGUAGCGGAUAGCCCGGUCUCUU
rnacentral:sRNA from 1 species